rnacentral:rRNA from 1 species
GUGUCAGCCGCCGCGGUAAUACGGAGGGUGCGAGCGUUAUCCGGAAUUACUGGGUUUAAAGGGUGCGUAGGCGGCUUGGUAAGUCAGGAGUGAAAGUUUGCGGCUCAACCGUAAAAUUGCUUUUGAUACUGCCAGGCUAGAAUCAGGAUGAGGUCAGCGGAAUGUGGCAUGUAGCGGUGAAAUGCAUAGAUAUGCCAUAGAACACCUAUUGCGAAGGCAGCUGGCUAGACCUGUAUUGACGCUGAGGCACGAAAGCGUGGGGAGCGAACAGGAUUAGAAACCCCUGUAGUCC